AGUCUGGUGCCAGCAGCCGCGGUAAUUCCAGCUCCAAUAGCGUAUAUUUAAGUUGUUGCAGUUAAAAAGCUCGUAGUUGGAUUUCGGUUAAGAGCGACCGGUCCGCCGUUUGGUGUGCACUGGUUGGUUUUAACUUCCUGUAGAGGACGUGCUCUGGGCUUAACGGUCUGGACUCGGAGUCUACGUGGUUACUUUGAAAAAAUUAGAGUGUUCAAAGCGGGCUUACGCUUGAAUAUUUCAGCAUGGAAUAACACUAUAGGACUCCUGUCCUAUUUCGUUGGUCUCGGGACGGGAGUAAUGAUUAAGAGGAACAGUUGGGGGCAUUCGUAUUUCAUUGUCAGAGGUGAAAUUCUUGGAUUUAUGAAAGACGAACUUCUGCGAAAGCAUUUGCCAAGGAUGUUUUCAUUAAUCAAGAACGAAAGUUGGGGGCUCGAAGAUGAUUAGAUACCAUCCUAGUCUCAACCAUAAACGAUGCCGACUAGGGAUUGGCGGAUGUUAAUUGAUGACUCCGCCAGCACCUUAUGAGAAAUCAAAGUUUUUGGGUUCCGGGGGGAGUAUGGUCGCAAGGCUGAAACUUAAAGGAAUUGACGGAAGGGCACCACCAGGCGUGGAGCCUGCGGCUUAAUUUGACUCAACACGGGACAACUUGCCCGGCCCGGACACAGGAAUGAUUGACAGAUUGAGAGCUCUUUCUUGAUUCUGUGGGUGGUGGUGCAUGGCCGUUCUUAGUCGGUGGAGUGAUUUGUCUGGUUAAUUCCGAUAACGGACGAGACUCUGACAUGCUAACUAGUUUCGCUUGCUACCUUUUAGGUCAGGUGGGAACUUCUUAGAUGGAUUGGCGCCUUUUUGAAUGCGCAUGAAAUAGAGCUAUAACAGGUCUGUGAUGCCCUUAGAUGUUCGGGACCGCACGCGCGCUACAAUGAAUUGGUCAAUAGGAUUUAGCUGAGGCGAAAGCUUGUCGCAAGACAUUUCGGCGAAUCGAACAAACCAGUUCAUGCUUGGGAUAGUUGCUUGUAAUUCUUCAACUUGAACGAGGAAUGCCUAGUAAUGCUGGGUCAUCAACCCAGCGUGAUUACGUCCCUGCCCUUUGUACACACCGCCCGUCGCUAGUACCGACUAGUUGGUUUAGUGAGUCGCUUGGAUUUAUAGGUUGGAAGGUCGCAAGGCCGGAAAAUCAGUGAAGAAGAAUGGCAAACUUGGUCAACCGGAGGAACUAAAAGUCGUAACAAGGUCUCCGUAGGUGAACCUGCGAGAU
rnacentral:rRNA from 1 species